CCCUUAGAUGUUCUGGGCCGCACGCGUGCUACACUGAGUGGAUCAGCGGGUCGGGUUGCGCGAAAGUGUUUCCUAAUCUUGAAAUCCGCUCGUGAUGGGGAUUGACGGUUGCAAUUUUCCGUCAUGAACGAGGAAUACCUUGUAAGCGCGGGUCAUCAUCCCGCGCUGAAUACGUCCCUGCCCUUUGUACACACCGCCCGUCGCUCCUACCGAUUGAGUGGUCCGGUGAGGCUUUGGGAUCUGAGCGGAAAGAGCGUUUCGCUGUUUCUGCUCGGAAAACUCAGUCGAACCUUAUCAUUUAGAGGAAGGAGAAGUCGUAACA
rnacentral:rRNA from 1 species